CGAGGCCGCAGCAUGAGGGGAAUGGCGCCAUCGUCAGGAGAAGCAUUGGGAGAUAUGAGCUGAAAUAUUUCGAUCCAUUUCUUGUUCUGGAUGAGUUCUCAGUUGCCACUCCUGCUGGAUUUCCUGAUCAUCCACAUAGAGGUUUUGAGACAGUAACAUACAUGCUUGAGGGAGCUAUAAACAUGAAGACUUUGAAGGUCAUGUGGGCA